rnacentral:rRNA from 1 species
CCUGCGGAAGGAUCAUUAUUGAAUAAACUUGGUUGGGUUGUUGCUGGCUCUUAGG